rnacentral:rRNA from 1 species
AUUGAACGCUGGCGGCAGGCUUAACACAUGCAAGUCGAGCGGGGGAAGGUAGCUUGCUACCGGACCUAGCGGCGGACGGGUGAGUAAUGCUUAGGAAUCUGCCUAUUAGUGGGGGACAACAUCUCGAAAGGGAUGCUAAUACCGCAUACGUCCUACGGGAGAAAGCAGGGGAUCUUCGGACCUUGCGCUAAUAGAUGAGCCUAAGUCGGAUUAGCUAGUUGGUGGGGUAAAGGCCUACCAAGGCGACGAUCUGUAGCGGGUCUGAGAGGAUGAUCCGCCACACUGGGACUGAGUCACGGACCAGACUCCUACGGGAGGCAGCAGUGGGGAAUAUCGGACAAUGGGGGGAACCCUGAUCCAGCCAUGCCGCGUGUGUGAAGAAGGCCUUAUGGUUGUAAAGCACUUUAAGCGAGGAGGAGGCUCUUUUGGUUAAUACCCAAGAUGAGUGGACGUUACUCGCAGAAUAAGCACCGGCUAACUCUGUGCCAGCCGCCGCAGUAAUAC